UACGUAGGGUGCAAGCGUUGUCCGGAAUUAUUGGGCGUAAAGAGCUCGUAGGCGGUCUGUCGCGUCUGCUGUGAAAACUCAGGGCUUAACCCUGAGCUUGCAGUGGGUACGGGCAGACUAGAGUGCGGUAGGGGGAGACUGGAAUUCCUGGUGUAGCGGUGAAAUGCGCAGAUAUCAGGAGGAACACCGGUGGCGAAGGCGGGUCUCUGGGCAGUAACUGACGCUGGAGGAGCGAAAAGCGUGGGGAGCGAACAGG
rnacentral:rRNA from 1 species